rnacentral:rRNA from 1 species
UACGGGGAGGCAAGCGUUGUUCGGAUUUACUGGGCGUAAAGGGCGCGUAGGCGGCCAGCGCAAGUCAGUUGUGAAAUCUCCGGGCUUAACUCGGAAAGGUCAACUGAUACUGCGCGGCUAGAGUGCAGAAGGGCAACUGGAAUUCUCGGUGUAGCGGUGAAAUGCGUAGAUAUCGAGAGGAACACCUGCGGCGAAGGCGGGUUGCUGGGCUGACACUGACGCUGAUGCGCGAAAGCCAGGGAGCGAACGG